GAUGAACGCUGGCGGCGUGCCUAAUACAUGCAAGUCGAGCGAACGGACGAGAAGCUUGCUUCUCUGAUGUUAGCGGCGGACGGGUGAGUAACACGUGGAUAACCUACCUAUAAGACUGGGAUAACUUCGGGAAACCGGAGCUAAUACCGGAUAAUAUUUUGAACCGCAUGGUUCAAAAGUGAAAGACGGUCUUGCUGUCACUUAUAGAUGGAUCCGCGCUGCAUUAGCUAGUUGGUAAGGUAACGGCUUACCAAGGCAACGAUGCAUAGCCGACCUGAGAGGGUGAUCGGCCACACUGGAACUGAGACACGGUCCAGACUCCUACGGGAGGCAGCAGUAGGGAAUCUUCCGCAAUGGGCGAAAGCCUGACGGAGCAACGCCGCGUGAGUGAUGAAGGUCUUCGGAUCGUAAAACUCUGUUAUUAGGGAAGAACAUAUGUGUAAGUAACUGUGCACAUCUUGACGGUACCUAAUCGGAAAGCCACGGCUAACUACGUGCCAGCAGCCGCGGUAAUACGUAGGUGGCAAGCGUUAUCCGGAAUUAUUGGGCGUAAAGCGCGCGUAGGCGGUUUUUUAAGUCUGAUGUGAAAGCCCACGGCUCAACCGUGGAGGGUCAUUGGAAACUGGAAAACUUGAGUGCAGAAGAGGAAAGUGGAAUUCCAUGUGUAGCGGUGAAAUGCGCAGAGAUAUGGAGGAACACCAGUGGCGAAGGCGACUUUCUGGUCUGUAACUGACGCUGAUGUGCGAAAGCGUGGGGAUCAAACAGGAUUAGAUACCCUGGUAGUCCACGCCGUAAACGAUGAGUGCUAAGUGUUAGGGGGUUUCCGCCCCUUAGUGCUGCAGCUAACGCAUUAAGCACUCCGCCUGGGGAGUACGACCGCAAGGUUGAAACUCAAAGGAAUUGACGGGGACCCGCACAAGCGGUGGAGCAUGUGGUUUAAUUCGAAGCAACGCGAAGAACCUUACCAAAUCUUGACAUCCUUUGACAACUCUAGAGAUAGAGCUUUCCCCUUCGGGGGACAAAGUGACAGGUGGUGCAUGGUUGUCGUCAGCUCGUGUCGUGAGAUGUUGGGUUAAGUCCCGCAACGAGCGCAACCCUUAAGCUUAGUUGCCAUCAUUAAGUUGGGCACUCUAAGUUGACUGCCGGUGACAAACCGGAGGAAGGUGGGGAUGACGUCAAAUCAUCAUGCCCCUUAUGAUUUGGGCUACACACGUGCUACAAUGGACAAUACAAAGGGCAGCGAAACCGCGAGGUCAAGCAAAUCCCAUAAAGUUGUUCUCAGUUCGGAUUGUAGUCUGCAACUCGACUACAUGAAGCUGGAAUCGCUAGUAAUCGUAGAUCAGCAUGCUACGGUGAAUACGUUCCCGGGUCU
rnacentral:rRNA from 1 species